AACGCUGGCGGCAGGCCUAACACAUGCAAGUCGAGCGGUAGCACAGAGAGCUUGCUCUCGGGUGACGAGCGGCGGACGGGUGAGUAAUGUCUGGGAAACUGCCUGAUGGAGGGGGAUAACUACUGGAAACGGUAGCUAAUACCGCAUAAUGUCGCAAGACCAAAGUGGGGGACCUUCGGGCCUCAUGCCAUCAGAUGUGCCCAGAUGGGAUUAGCUAGUAGGUGGGGUAAUGGCUCACCUAGGCGACGAUCCCUAGCUGGUCUGAGAGGAUGACCAGCCACACUGGAACUGAGACACGGUCCAGACUCCUACGGGAGGCAGCAGUGGGGAAUAUUGCACAAUGGGCGCAAGCCUGAUGCAGCCAUGCCGCGUGUGUGAAGAAGGCCUUCGGGUUGUAAAGCACUUUCAGCGGGGAGGAAGGCGUUAAGGUUAAUAACCUUGGCGAUUGACGUUACCCGCAGAAGAAGCACCGGCUAACUCCGUGCCAGCAGCCGCGGUAAUACGGAGGGUGCAAGCGUUAAUCGGAAUUACUGGGCGUAAAGCGCACGCAGGCGGUCUGUCAAGUCGGAUGUGAAAUCCCCGGGCUCAACCUGGGAACUGCAUUCGAAACUGGCAGGCUAGAGUCUUGUAGAGGGGGGUAGAAUUCCAGGUGUAGCGGUGAAAUGCGUAGAGAUCUGGAGGAAUACCGGUGGCGAAGGCGGCCCCCUGGACAAAGACUGACGCUCAGGUGCGAAAGCGUGGGGAGCAAACAGGAUUAGAUACCCUGGUAGUCCACGCCGUAAACGAUGUCGAUUUGGAGGUUGUGCCCUUGAGGCGUGGCUUCCGGAGCUAACGCGUUAAAUCGACCGCCUGGGGAGUACGGCCGCAAGGUUAAAACUCAAAUGAAUUGACGGGGGCCCGCACAAGCGGCGGAGCAUGUGGUUUAAUUCGAUGCAACGCGAAGAACCUUACCUGGUCUUGACAUCCACAGAACUUAGCAGAGAUGCUUUGGUGCCUUCGGGAACUGUGAGACAGGUGCUGCAUGGCUGUCGUCAGCUCGUGUUGUGAAAUGUUGGGUUAAGUCCCGCAACGAGCGCAACCCUUAUCCUUUGUUGCCAGCGGUUAGGCCGGGAACUCAAAGGAGACUGCCAGUGAUAAACUGGAGGAAGGUGGGGAUGACGUCAAGUCAUCAUGGCCCUUACGACCAGGGCUACACACGUGCUACAAUGGCAUAUACAAAGAGAAGCGACCUCGCGAGAGCAAGCGGACCUCAUAAAGUAUGUCGUAGUCCGGAUUGGAGUCUGCAACUCGACUCCAUGAAGUCGGAAUCGCUAGUAAUCGUAGAUCAGAAUGCUACGGUGAAUACGUUCCCGGGCCUUGUACACACCGCCCGUCACACCAUGGGAGUGGGUUGCAAAAGAAGUAGGUAGCUUAACCUUCGGGAGGGCGCUUACCACUUUGUGAUUCAUGACUGGGGUGA
rnacentral:rRNA from 1 species